rnacentral:rRNA from 1 species
UCGAGAAUAAUUCACAAUGGGGGAAACCCUGAUGGUGCAACGCCGCGUGGAGGAUGAAGGUCUUCGGAUUGUAAACUCCUGUCAUCUGGGAGUAAGACCUGGGCGUGAAUAGCGCACAGGGUUGAUAGUACCAGACGAGGAAGGGACGGCUAACUUCGUGCCAGCAGCCGCGGUAAUACGAAGGUCCCAAGCGUUGUUCGGAAUUACUGGGCGUAAAGCGCACGUAGGCGGCCUUUCGAGUCAGGCGUGAAAGCCCCGGGCUUAACCCGGGAAUUGCGUUUGAUACUGUUGGGCUUGAGACCGGGAGAGGAUAGCGGAAUUCCCAGUGUAGAGGUGAAAUUCGUAGAUAUUGGGAAGAACACCAGUGGCGAAGGCGGCUAUCUGGACCGGUACUGACGCUGAGGUGCGAAAGCGUGGGGAGCAAA